UGAAAGCCUAUUUUUUAUUCAAAUUCAAACAGCGCAUGUCUCUCUCCUCUCCUUUUCUUAUCUUCCUCUCGUUUGGACCAUUCUAUUGUCAAAUCAAAAUCUCAUAUUUCUAGCAAUGGCGACGGCUCAUUUACGUUUCAGCCAACGCAUGCCUCUCCAUCCAUUGAAUAACAAUAACACUGCCACUGUUACUGUUACUGCCACUGACUCUGUGCUUGUUUCGAAUCCCAAGCAACAGUACCGGAUUCUCCAUUCCGACGAACGGAACCUACUGAACCAUCAACAUCCGGUUACGGCCACCGCCGCCGAGAAAAUGGAGACGACGGCGUUAGAUUUGAAUUCGUCGUUGGCUGAGGAGCUCAACGCCGUAAGGAUGAAGACGGAGCGUUUGAGAUUGGAUAAAGAGAAGACGGAGAAGAUGUUGAAAGAGAGGGAAGCAUUGCUUCUUUUGCAAAUGAAAGAGAUCGAAGAGCGAGGUCAGAUUCAAAGACACCUCGAAAUUCAAGUUGAUAGGCUCUUCAGAUUGAAGGAGCUCAAAUCUUAUUCCAUGAGGAUAUCUCCAUUAAAAUCACUGAGGGAAAAACAACGAAGUGGUUGGAACAUGAAUGAGGUGCAUUCGCUGCGUUUUGUAUACUCUGCCGAGAGCUUGAAUGUCUGAAAAAGGUGAUGAUGGCGGAUUCACAGAAGUAGAGCACCUUAGCUGCCAAAGAAAUCAUUUGGGCUCUUGGCAGAGUGAGACAAUAUCGGGAAUUAAAAGGGUAUGAAUCCAGAGAUGAAAACCCACUGCAGGCUUCAACCCCAUCCAAUUCUUCUCAAAGAUUUUAAAGAAUAAUGAUUAAGGCUUUUUUUUCCUUUUUAUCUUCUCUUUUCCUUAUCUUUUUGUCAUUUUAAAAGCAAACAUUAUAGUAUAAUAUCUCAUUAUAGUUGUAACUCAUCUUGUUGGAAAGUGGUAAAUUAUACCCAAAA